ACCACAAGGACCUAUCUUGGUUGGUGGAUACCUGGACCCUGAGGUCAGAGGGCAGCUUGCUACAAGGUCUGUCUUUGGGGAUCUGAGCUUGUCCCCCACCCCUUCAACUGGCUGCCCUGCUGUUUUGGCCUGGUAGAGCCCACCCUCUUCUAGUAGAGCAUGGGGAGAUGGUCAAAUGUCAGCGUGUAGCCCCACCCCCAGGAUCUGGGUGAAAACCAGCUAUGAGCUUGGCCUGGACGUAUACUUUACCGCGCCUUCCUCAGAAGAGGUUCUGGUAUCCCAUCUACAAAAUGCAGCCCAGUGCCUUUAGGAACAGGCCCUCUCUGGGGCUUAGCUGAGGGAGGAGGGGCCAGGGACGGGGUUGUAAGGAAGCGUACUGAGUGUCGUAGAGUAUAGUCUUAGAGGCUAGAACUCAGAGAAGUGGGGUUAAAAACAUUUCUGAUAUUUAUUUCACCUGGGCUUGGCUUGGAUGCCUCCAGUGAUGGGUGUCUCACUGCCUACCCAAUGAUUUCAAGACAGCUCCAUAGAAAGCGCUUCCAUUCUCCCGGCCAACCUUUGCCUCCCUGUAAUGUGUCCUCACUGGCCUGGCUUAGUCAUCUGGAGACACACACAGGCUUUGCACACUCUCCUCCAGCUGUUCGGAGUGGCCUGUGCCCUCCUGACCUUGUAGGUUUGCUGUGAAUCUCU
rnacentral:lncRNA from 1 species